AUGGGAGUUCCAAUGGCUGGUUGAAAAGCCUUUAAGGCCAGACACAAGAAGAAUGACUUCUUCCAGCUUGCUAAUGAGGACUGUAAAUCCAGGCAGACUUUGGGAUAACUCCUAGCGAAACCAAAGGCAGGCUGGUGUCACCCACCACGGUGCAAACAUCUGGAGCGUGUGGUUUGCAUUCUGUUGCUGCAAUGCAAAGUCUAGCUAAACAAAGAAAGCCAUGGGGAGAUCAGAAGUGUGGCCCCCUUACUGUCGUGUCAGUUUAUCUGUAGCUAAUGACACCUCCCAUACACCUCCCCACGCACACCCCGAGUUGCCAAAUCCCUCAGGAAGCGAGAGCCACGGCGCUGGUGAGACUUCUGAUGACACCUGGUGGCAAAAUUGGAAUAACACACUAGAAAUGGAAUCACAUGGGUGAUAGCUGUGUUCCUGAAACUGAAGAGAAAUCCAUGGGGAACUAAUGUAACUGGAGGCUAGUAGUUAAAAGUGGAAAAUAAUAUGCUAGGAAUGAAAUGGAGAAGCUUAAUAACAUUACUUUAAGAGGCCAACCCAGCUCUAAUAAAUGUAUGGCAUAUCUGUAUAGAGCAGUCCUUAAGGAGGAGCCAUAACCAGCUCUGCGGGAUCAGUUACUGCCUGUUUAAAAACAACUGUAAACAGCAGCAAGAGAGGAUUAAUUAGUUUGAUUCAGUCAAGUUGUCUCCUUGGAUACCAUUCAAGUGACUUCCACCAUUGUUCAUGUGAAGUAACCAGGAACAUGAGCAUCAGAGUAGUAAAUACCUGUGGUCCAGGUUUUAUUUUAAAGCAGAAAAACAUCAUUUCAUAAAACUUCAUUUAAGUCCCCUGCUCCAAACCUUCAUGACUCUCAUUUUUCACAGAAAGGGAGAAUAAUGGGAUUGGAGUCAGCCCAUCUGUAUAAACUAUUUACCCAGAACUCCUGAUGGGGUAAAACCACAGAGAAGUGCUCUCUGCUCUUUGUUAUUGGCACACAGAGAAAGCCAGCCCUCAGAAAGCUUCAGCUGCAUCAACUUUCAUCUCAGCACUUCCCUACUGAUGCUUUUGAGCCAUCAGAACAGGAAGAACCAGAAGGACUCCAAACAAAGUGAAGGUUCUUCCAGAAGCUGAAGAGCAUGAGAGGAAUUUUGGGUUAGCUCCAAGAGAGCCUCUUUUGUCACAGAACCAAGCAGAGCUGAAACAAUCAUCGCUGGCUGAACUCAAGGACGGGGUUGGGCAGUGUUCCCAAGAGGCUGAAGCCUCUCUGCAAGCCCUCUUGGAAGGUGCUGCACAACGAAAACCAUGCACCAAGCAGAGAGGUGGUAGCUAAAAGCAUACAUGCCUCCUGCAGGCUCUUUUUGAAAGAACCAGGAAGACUGUCUACAGUUUUCUCUCAUUUAAGACAAAUGCAGUCCUGAUGGCUGUGGCCUGAAGGGAAGAGCUGCCUUCCUGCCAGAAGAGGAGCAGAACUGUUAAUAUCUGGCAACAGGAGAGAGGCAAAGGGAUGGCUCUGAGACACAGUUUGCUGCUGGUGUACAAGGUUAACUGCUGUGAAUGUUCCAAACUGCAUAUCCACAUCCUGCUCCCUGUGAGAAGCAGAGAAAUGCCACACAUUUUCAGUUGUCAUCUGAGAGGGAUCCUACACACUGGCUCUGGAGGUAAACUGCCUUUGGUCAGAACAGCUUGGGUCUGGACUCAAAUGGAUGCUUUACAGAGCAGAGGUAUCCAAAGACAGGUUUGUUGGUUUGACUCAUCUUUCAUUCAGCUCAUUGUGCUGUUCCAAAAGACUGCUGAUAAAUGGAAAUAUGCUUUUAAGUCUUAUAUAAUUUGUAUACUUAUAUGAUUUAUGGGUGAUCUAAAGCUCAAAACUGCCAGUGGAGCUACAGAAAUGCUUGAGAGGAACAGGCCUCCUUGUCACCAGAGGCAACCUAUACAAGAUUUGCACUCUGGUGCUAAAAGUAUGUCUAU